rnacentral:rRNA from 1 species
UACGAAGGGGGCUAGCGUUGCUCGGAUUUACUGGGCGUAAAGGGCGCGUAGGCGGACAGUUAAGUUGGGGGUGAAAGCCCGGGGCUCAACCUCGGAAUUGCCUUCAAUACUGGCUGUCUUGAGUGUGAGAGAGGUGUGUGGAACUCCGAGUGUAGAGGUGAAAUUCGUAGAUAUUCGGAAGAACACCAGUGGCGAAGGCGACACACUGGCUCACUACUGACGCUGAGGCGCGAAGGCGUGGGGAGCGAACGGG